CACGUACGCUGGCGGCAGUUUUACCACAUGCAGUCGAGCGGGGAAGGGUAGCUUGCUACCUGACCUAGCGGCGGACGGGUGAGUAAUGCUUAGGAAUCUGCCUAUUAGUGGGGGACAACAUUCCGAAAGGAAUGCUAAUACCGCAUACGCCCUACGGGGGAAAGCAGGGGAUCUUCGGACCUUGCGCUAAUAGAUGAGCCUAAGUCAGAUUAGCUAGUUGGUGGGGUAAAGGCCUACCAAGGCGACGAUCUGUAGCGGGUCUGAGAGGAUGAUCCGCCACACUGGGACUGAGACACGGCCCAGACUCCUACGGGAGGCAGCAGUGGGGAAUAUUGGACAAUGGGCGCAAGCCUGAUCCAGCCAUGCCGCGUGUGUGAAGAAGGCCUUUUGGUUGUAAAGCACUUUAAGCGAGGAGGAGGCUACUUGGAUUAAUACUCUAGGAUAGUGGACGUUACUCGCAGAAUAAGCACCGGCUAACUCUGUGCCAGCAGCCGCGGUAAUACAGAGGGUGCGAGCGUUAAUCGCAUUUACUGGGCGUAAAGCGUGCGUAGGCGGCUUCUUAGUCGGAUGUGAAAUCCCUGAGCUUAACUUAGGAAUUGC
rnacentral:rRNA from 1 species